UGAGGAAUAUUGGGCAAUGGAGGCAACUCUGACCCAGCCAUGCCGCGUGCAGGAAGACGGUCCUAUGGAUUGUAAACUGCUUUUAUACGGGAAGAAACAUCACUACGAGUAGUGACUUGACGGUACCGUAAGAAUAAGGAUCGGCUAACUCCGUGCCAGCAGCCGCGGUAAUACGGAGGAUCCAAGCGUUAUCCGGAAUCAUUGGGUUUAAAGGGUCCGUAGGCGGGUUUAUAAGUCAGUGGUGAAAUCCGGCAGCUUAACUGUCGAACUGCCAUUGAUACUGUAGAUCUUGAAUAUUUGUGAAGUAGCUAGAAUAUGUAGUGUAGCGGUGAAAUGCUUAGAUAUUACAUGGAAUACCGAUUGCGAAGGCAGGUUACUAACAAAUUAUUGACGCUGAGGGACGAAAGCGUGGGUAGCGAACAGGAUUAGAUACCCUGGUAGUCCACGCUGUAAACGAUGGAUACUAGCUGUUGGUUGUACAUUGGUACGAUCAGUGGCUAAGCGAAAGUGAUAAGUUCCCACCUGGGAGA
rnacentral:rRNA from 1 species